rnacentral:rRNA from 1 species
CUGCUCAGGAUGAACGCUGGCGGCGUGCCUAAUACAUGCAAGUCGAACGAGUUCUGAUUAUUGAAAGGUGCUUGCAUCUUGAUUUAAUUUUGAACGAGUGGCGGACGGGUGAGUAACACGUGGGUAACCUGCCCUUAAGUGGGGGAUAACAUUUGGAAACAGAUGCUAAUACCGCAUAAAUCCAAGAACCGCAUGGUUCUUGGCUGAAAGAUGGCGUAAGCUAUCGCUUUUGGAUGGACCCGCGGCGUAUUAGCUAGUUGGUGAGGUAACGGCUCACCAAGGCAAUGAUACGUAGCCGAACUGAGAGGUUGAUCGGCCACAUUGGGACUGAGACACGGCCCAAACUCCUACGGGAGGCAGCAGUAGGGAAUCUUCCACAAUGGACGCAAGUCUGAUGGAGCAACGCCGCGUGAGUGAAGAAGGCUUUCGGGUCGUAAAACUCUGUUGUUGGAGAAGAAUGGUCGGCAGAGUAACUGUUGUCGGCGUGACGGUAUCCAACCAGAAAGCCACGGCUAACUACGUGCCAGCAGCCGCGGUAAUACGUAGGUGGCAAGCGUUAUCCGGAUUUAUUGGGCGUAAAGCGAGCGCAGGCGGUUUUUUAAGUCUGAUGUGAAAGCCCUCGGCUUAACCGAGGAAGUGCAUCGGAAACUGGGAAACUUGAGUGCAGAAGAGGACAGUGGAACUCCAUGUGUAGCGGUGAAAUGCGUAGAUAUAUGGAAGAACACCAGUGGCGAAGGCGGCUGUCUGGUCUGUAACUGACGCUGAGGCUCGAAAGCAUGGGUAGCGAACAGGAUUAGAUACCCUGGUAGUCCAUGCCGUAAACGAUGAAUGCUAGGUGUUGGAGGGUUUCCGCCCUUCAGUGCCGCAGCUAACGCA